AGAGUUUGAUCCUGGCUCAGGACGAACGCUGGCGGCGUGCCUAAUACAUGCAAGUCGAACGAAGCUUUCUUUCACCGAAUGCUUGCAUUCACCGAAAGAAGCUUAGUGGCGAACGGGUGAGUAACACGUAGGCAACCUGCCCAAAAGAGGGGGAUAACACUUGGAAACAGGUGCUAAUACCGCAUAACCAUGAACACCGCAUGAUGUUCAUGUAAAAGACGGCUUUUGCUGUCACUUUUGGAUGGGCCUGCGGCGUAUUAACUUGUUGGUGGGGUAACGGCCUACCAAGGUGAUGAUACGUAGCCGAACUGAGAGGUUGAUCGGCCACAUUGGGACUGAGACACGGCCCAAACUCCUACGGGAGGCAGCAGUAGGGAAUCUUCCACAAUGGACGAAAGUCUGAUGGAGCAACGCCGCGUGAAUGAAGAAGGCCUUCGGGUCGUAAAAUUCUGUUGUCAGAGAAGAACGUGCGUGAGAGUAACUGUUCACGUAUUGACGGUAUCUGACCAGAAAGCCACGGCUAACUACGUGCCAGCAGCCGCGGUAAUACGUAGGUGGCGAGCGUUGUCCGGAUUUAUUGGGCGUAAAGGGAACGCAGGCGGUCUUUUAAGUCUGAUGUGAAAGCCUUCGGCUUAACCGAAGUAGUGCAUUGGAAACUGGAAGACUUGAGUGCAGAAGAGGAGAGUGGAACUCCAUGUGUAGCGGUGAAAUGCGUAGAUAUAUGGAAGAACACCAGUGGCGAAAGCGGCUCUCUGGUCUGUAACUGACGCUGAGGUUCGAAAGCGUGGGUAGCAAACAGGAUUAGAUACCCUGGUAGUCCACGCCGUAAACGAUGAGUGCUAAGUGUUGGAGGGUUUCCGCCCUUCAGUGCUGCAGCUAACGCAUUAAGCACUCCGCCUGGGGAGUACGGUCGCAAGACUGAAACUCAAAGGAAUUGACGGGGGCCCGCACAAGCGGUGGAGCAUGUGGUUUAAUUCGAAGCAACGCGAAGAACCUUACCAGGUCUUGACAUCCCGA
rnacentral:rRNA from 1 species